AAAGCAUGAUGAGGUAACUUUCUAAGAAUCUCCUUGAAUCUUUCCCAUCUUCUAUAAAUUAACUUUCCAUUAAUUUAGGCAAAUGAAGUAAUAUUAUUCCUAAGUUU